rnacentral:rRNA from 1 species
GAUGAACGCUGGCGGCGUGCUUAACACAUGCAAGUCGAACGGAAAGGCCCAAGCUUGCUUGGGUACUCGAGUGGCGAACGGGUGAGUAACACGUGGGUGAUCUGCCCUGCACUUCGGGAUAAGCCUGGGAAACUGGGUCUAAUACCGGAUAGGACGAUGGUUUGGAUGCCAUUGUGGAAAGUUUUUUCGGUGUGGGAUGAGCUCGCGGCCUAUCAGCUUGUUGGUGGGGUAAUGGCCUACCAAGGCGUCGACGGGUAGCCGGCCUGAGAGGGUGUACGGCCACAUGGGGACUGAGAUACGGCCCAGACUCCUACGGGAGGCAGCAGUGGGGAAUAUUGCACAAUGGGCGCAAGCCUGAUGCAGCGACGCCGCGUGGGGGAUGACGGCAUUCGGGUUGUAAACUCCUGUCGCUAGGGACGAAGCGUUUUUGUGACGGUACCUGGAGAAGAAGCACCGGCUAACUACGUG